CCUACGGGUGGCAGCAGUGAGGAAUAUUGGUCAAUGGACGAGAGCCUGAACCAGCCAAGUAGCGUGAGGGAAGACGGUCCUAUGGAUUGUAAACCUCUUUUGUCGGGGAACAAAAGACGCCACGCGUGGCGUUCUGAGAGUACCCGAAGAAAAAGCAUCGGCUAACUCCGUGCCAGCAGCCGCGGUAAUACGGAGGAUGCGAGCGUUAUCCGGAUUUAUUGGGUUUAAAGGGUGCGAAGGCGGAAGGUUAAGUCAGUGGUAAAAUUGAGAGGCUCAACCUCUUAGAGCAGUUGAAACUGGUGGUCGUGAGUGCGCUAGAAGUAUGCGGAAUGCGUGGUGUAGCGGUGAAAUGCAUAGAUAUCACGAAGAACUCCGAUUGCGAAGGCAGCAUACCGGCGUUCAACUGACACUGAUGCACGAAAGUGUGGGUAUCGAACAGGAUUAGAUACCCUGGUAGUC
rnacentral:rRNA from 1 species